GAUGAACGCUGGCGGCGUGCCUAACACAUGCAAGUCGAGCGAUUCUCUUCGGAGAAGAGCGGCGGACGGGUGAGUAACGCGUGGGUAACCUGCCCUGUACACACGGAUAACAUACCGAAAGGUAUGCUAAUACGAGAUAAUACACUUUUAUCGCAUGGUAGAAGUAUCAAAGCUCCGGCCGUACAGGAUGGACCCGCGUCUGAUAAGCUAGUUGGUAAGGUAACGGCUUACCAAGGCGACGAUCAGUAGCCGACCUGAGAGGCGUGAUCGGCCACAUUGGAACUGAGACACGGUCCAAACUCCUACGGGAGGCAGCAGUGGGGAAUAUUGCACAAUGGGCGAAAGCCUGAUGCAGCAACGCCGCGUGAGCGAUGAAGGCCUUCGGGUCGUAAAGCUCUGUCCUCAAGGAAGAUAAAGACGGUACUUGAGGAGGAAGCCCCGGCUAACUACGUGCCAGCCGCCGCAGUAA
rnacentral:rRNA from 1 species